GGGAGGUAGUGACAAUAAAUAACAAUACGGGGUUCUUUCGGAUCUCGUAAUUGGAAUGAGUACAAUUUAAAUCUCUUAACGAGGAACAAUUGGAGGGCAAGUCUGGUGCCAGCAGCCGCGGUAAUUCCAGCUCCAAUAGCGUAUAUUAAAGUUGUUGCAGUUAAAAAGCUCGUAGUUGAAUUUCGGGAUCAAUUUAUCGGUCGUGCCUACGGUAUGAACUGGUACAAUUGGUUUCUCCCUUCUGACGAAGCAUGAUGUCAUUAAUUUGGUGUCGUGGGGAAUCAGGACUGUUACUUUGAAAAAUUAGAGUGUUUAAAGCAAGCAUUAGCUUGAAUACAUUAGCAUGGAAUAAUGAAAUAGGACGUUUGAUCCUAUUUCGUUGGUUUCUAGGAUCGACGUAAUGAUUAAUAGGGAUAGUUGGG
rnacentral:rRNA from 1 species